rnacentral:misc_RNA from 1 species
UCACCCCUCAAGCCCCCGGGCUUGGUGUUGGACGGCCUGGCGGGGACCUCUCGGUCGCCGCCCCUCCCAAAGACAAUGACGGCGGCUCGUUGGACCCCCGGUACACUGAGUUCUUCACGGGACACGUACUGGAUCAAGGGUGCGCGGGCGACGGUCUACCUCCCCCUCGCGGGAGAACUUUUUUCUUAA